AUUGAACGCUGGCGGCAUGAUUUACACAUGCAAGUCGAACGGUAACAGGCCGCCAGGUGCUGACGAGUGGCGCACGGGUGCGUAAUGCAUCGGAACGUGCCCAGUCGUGGGGGAUAACUACUCGAAAGAGUAGCUAAUACCGCAUACGAUCUAUGGAUGAAAGCGGGGGACCGUAAGGCCUCGCGCGAUUGGAGCGGCCGAUGUCAGAUUAGGUAGUUGGUGGGGUAAAGGCUCACCAAGCCAACGAUCUGUAGCUGGUCUGAGAGGACGACCAGCCACACUGGGACUGAGACACGGCCCAGACUCCUACGGGAGGCAGCAGUGGGGAAUUUUGGACAAAGGGCGCAAGCCUGAUCCAGCAAUGCCGCGUGCAGGAAGAAGGCCUUCGGGUUGUAAACUGCUUUUGUACGGAACGAAACGGCUCUGGUUAAUACCCGGGGCUAAUGACGGUACCGUAAGAAUAAGCACCGGCUAACUACGUG
rnacentral:rRNA from 1 species